GAUGAACGUUGGCGGCGUGCCUAAUACAUGCAAGUCGAACGAGGUGUCUUUGUAGCAAUACGAAGGUAUCCUAGUGGCGAACGGGUGAGUAACGCGUUGGUGACCUACCCCAAAGUGUGGGAUAACAGAUCGAAAGAUCUGCUAAUACCGCAUGUGGUCUUCGGAUUUAGAAACUGAUGACUAAAGGAGCAAUUCGCUUUGGGAGGGACCUGCGUCCCAUCAGCUAGUUGGUGAGGUAAUGGCUCACCAAGGCUACGACGGGUAGGGGACCUGAGAGGGUGGCCCCCCCACAAUGGAACUGAAACACGGUCCAUACACCUACGGGUGGCAGCAGUAGGGAAUAUUGCACAAUGGGCGAAAGCCUGAUGCAGCAACGCCGCGUGUGCGAU
rnacentral:rRNA from 1 species